AUGCUCCGCCCCUGGAAGCCCCGCCCCUGCUCGCGCAGCGUUGUGCCCGCCCCCAUCCCUCCCAGCCAGGGCAGCGCAGCGUCAGCCGUCUCUCGGCGGGGCUUUCUCCUAGGAUUUGCGGUUUGGUCUGCGGCAUGGACGCUUAUUGACGUUGCUGGUGAGGCGGCGGCGGCGGCGGAACUAGGCCUUCUUCGGCCAAAAGGCGCCGGCCCCCCUCUCUCUGCUCGGCUCAUCCUUGUGGUUCUCUGCGGCUGCGCGGCGGACGGUAGCGCUGUCAACUGCUCUAGCGCGGAGCGCCAGGCUGUGGUCGGCUCCAUAGCUCAGGGGUUAGAGCACUGGUCUUGUAAACCAGGGGUCGCGAGUUCAAAUCUCGCUGGGGCCUGUCUCUGUUUUUCCACCCCUCCUGGGAGAUGGAAACGUGGGAGACGAGUGAGCCAACACGAAUUUCCGUUCUUUCUGCGAGGUCUGGCCCUCGGCCGAACGGACUGUCCGUGGCCCCUAGAUUCCCGCCGACGGGAAGUGGCGUUGUUUCGGGAAGAGCUGGCUCCCUGUGCCCGUGGCCUUGCGGUCACAGGCUCCGCCGGCUCCAUGCGACUUCACAGCGGCCCCUCGCCUCCUUCGCGUGCGCUCGGAAAGCCCGUGGCAGAUCUUCCCGUGCCCCUCCUCUCACCACGCUCGGGCCAGAGGUCAGAAUGAAUGUGCUGGCGUUGUAACUGAACCAAUGAAAGAAGGAAUAAAAGUUGGUGACCUGGGUGCUCAGUGGAACUGAGCCAUCAACUGAGGUAAGACCAAGGAGUGCUGGGUAGUAGGAAGCAUUUCUGAAUAGAAAGUAGGGGAAAGUAGGACAGGUGGCCCAGGGAGAUAAAGAAACCAUCCUCGAAUAUGUUUUGGAUUGAGGAGAGGCCUCCUUAGUGGCAGGCCUGGAUGGUGGCAGAGGGCCCAAAAAGAGAGGGUCUUUAGUAUUUCUGACACUGAACUUUACCUGAUGGAGGGUUCCUGGAAAACAGCAUCAGUUAAGAAAUCCUCCUACCCACCUGUGUUCUAGCAAGUAGCUCAUUGCAAGGAAUCAGCCUUCUCCAUGUGACUUGAGAUGACCUUCUGAUGUGUAUGUGAAUAAGGCCCACCCAGACUCAGAAAGACUAGCUGAACUGACAAAUCUGGACAAAAUGCCUGUUAACUUGAGUUGACUAAACUUGUCAGCUUUCCCUCUCCCUUCAGGCCUUCAGACCUUGAAUAACCUUGAGCAAACAUUGAAAUGGCCCUUCCCCAGAACCAGCAUCCCCUGAUGAACGGUUCUAUUGUGUCAACUCAUCCCACUCCCAUACCCAGCACUUCUUCAGUGCUCAUCCCCCAUCCCCCACCUCAUUCCCAGUUAUAUCUAGUCUUGUCUAUUUCUGUCUAUGAAAGAAGAACUCUGGGGGUGCCUGGGUGGCUCAGUCUGUUAAGUGUGUAGGGCUCUUAUCUCCACCCGGUCUCCAUCUGAGGGUCAUGAGUUCAAACCCCACUCUGGGCCGCAUGAUGGGUGUGCAGCUUAUAGAAAGGAAGGAAGGAAGGAAGGAAGGAAGGAAGGAAGGAAGGAAGGAAGGAAGGCCCCUCAACAAAGUAGAAAUGGAAGGGAACUUCCUCAGUCUGAUGAAGUGCUUUGCAUGUACAAAAGACUACAGCAAACUUUAUGCUUAUGGUGAAAGACUGAAUGUUUUCUUCGGAGUCUUCAACAUUUCUUUUCAAUAUAGUACUGGAGGUGAGAGAAAAGGCUGAAGGCAUCAGACUAGAAAUGAAGAAG
rnacentral:tRNA from 1 species